rnacentral:tRNA from 1 species
GCUCCUAUGGCGGAAUGGUAGACGCGCUGGUCUUAGGAACCAGUGGGAAACCGUGAGAGUUCGAAUCUCUCUAGGAGUA